CUCAGAAUUCCUAUGCAAACAUUUGUCCUCUCAGGUUGGGAAAAGAUUAAAACGGUACUUGGCAGGGCGGGGGAGCCUAUAGUGUCUCUUUCCGAGAUGUACUCCAACACUUGGCAGGGUGAGGUGUUCCUAGCAGGUGCUGGCUUUGCUAUAAAUGGACAAUUUAUAAACAGGGCUGACAACUGGGAAAACAGAGCCAUGGAGAAGGCCGGCAUUCCAGGGGCCAGCGGUGAUUUCCUAUCAGACGGUCCUCAGCAUGGAAUUAUUGAUAGCUGUGAUGCCGAAAGGGAGCCAGUUGGCUAAUGCCUGGAAGGGCUGAACCCCCGCUCACGGAUGAUCUGCUGCAAGAUAUCUUAAAUAGACUGAAGCCCUGACUCCGCAAGGAACUCAGACUGCCUUAGGAGGAGAGAAAACUUCAUGAGCCCGAGGCAGAGCUAUGGAAACAUAUGCAUACCCCAGCCCAGAGGUUGGACUAGAUGGCCUGGCUGUCGGAACACAAGGUUUCUGACAGCUGCCCUCCGUGGCUCCCUCAGGGAUAACAGAACAGUACUUUCUGGAAGCAGAUUCAUGAGGCAGAUCAGAGGAGUUCAGCUGUUGCUGUCUGUAAAAGAAUUUAUAAUUUGUACCUUGCUGCACCCAACUUGCUUUUGGGCAUCCUCACUUGGGUGCUUGAAGUUGGUAUGCCCUCUGUCCAGACAAGCAUCUUCUUGGGCUAUUAAUUAUGUAAUUAAAGGUCUGAACCUUCUCAUUUAAGAUGAUAAUAAAAUGUUUAAAGCUAUGCUGCUUAUAAACUUU
rnacentral:lncRNA from 1 species